AGCGCCGCCAUCUUGUGGUGGGCAGAAAGCUCGGCUCGGCUGGCUCGGUUGGCUGCCAGUUCACCUGCAGCGGCGGUUGAUCGCGGUUCGUGCGCCUGUCUUUCCUUGACAAGUGUGCCAGUGUGUAUCUGCAGUGCAUUCGAAUGCGUGCGGCUCGAUUCAAGCGAGCAUGGUACAAUCCUGCGUAGCGUAUGGGUGCGCAAAUCGCGCGAUUCCUGCUUCCAAGAUCACAUUUCACAGGUUUCCAAAAGAUGCUGAGACACGGAACCUAUGGGAGCGAGCUGUGCGUCGUGAACGCUGGAAACCGACAGAUAAAGAUCGCCUUUGCUCUGCGCACUUUGAUCCGGCGUGUUUUGACCGGACCGGACAAACAACAUUGAAAGCGGGAAGUGUGCCGACUUCGUUCGCUGCUUUCCCUGCCCACCUCCUGGCACCGGUGAAAAGGAAGCGGCCAGCACCAAAACCUCGAGGAUGCAGUCCUGCUCAGCAGCAAGAGGCCUUAAAUACCGAAGACCAUGUCACUAGAAUGGUAUAGGUCUGUUAACGGCCAACCAGGCUUUACAGGGGAAGCAUUUUCUUUCUUGGAGAAGUUGGUUCAAGGUCGCUCUGAAACUCUUUACUGUGCUCUGAUUGUCGAUGAUAUGUCGAUUAGGAAACACGUUGAACUUGUAGGAGACAGGAUAGUUGGCUAUGUUGAUUUUGGAGCAUCUCUUGAUGAUGACAGCCUCCCUGAAGCCACAAAUGUUUGUGUUUAUAUUGUUGUUGGCAUAAACAUGAGGCUGAAAAUACCA